rnacentral:rRNA from 1 species
AGAGUUUGAUCCUGGCUCAGGAUGAACGCUGGCAGCGUGGAUAAGGCAUGCAAGUCGAGAGGGGUAAGCCCUCGGCAAACGGGUUAGUAACGCGUAGGGAAUCUACCCAGAAGUAGAGAAUAACCCAUCGAAAGAUGGAAUAAUGCUCUAUAGUCUGCGUGUUCGAGAGAAUGCGCAGUAAAGAUUUAUCGCUUCUGGACGACCCUGCGUCCUAUCAGCUUGUUGGUGAGGUAACGGCUCACCAAGGCUAUGACGGGUAGGGGAUGUGAGAACAUGACCCCCAACAUUGGAACUGCGACACUGUCCAAACACCUACGGGUGGCUGCAGUCGAGAAUCUUCGGCAAUGGGCGAAAGCCUGACCGAGCGACGCUGCGUGAAGGAAGAAGGCCUUCGGGUUGUAAACUUCUGUCGUGUGGGAAGAACUUUGACGGUACCACACAAGAAAGGGGCGCCUAACUCUGUGCCAGCAGGCGCGGUAAUACAGAGGCCCCGAGCGUUAUCCGGAAUUAUUGGGCGUAAAGCGUCCGCAGGCGGAUAUGUGCGUCUGCUGUUAAAUGUCAGGGCUCAACCCUGUACACGUUGCAGUGGAUACGACAUAUCUAGAGGAAGGAAGAGAUGAACGGAACUCAUGGUGGAGCAGUGAAAUGCGUUGAUAUCAUGGGGAACACCAAUUGCGAAGGCAGUUCAUUGGUCCUUUCCUGACGCUCAGGGACGACAGCGUGGGGAGCGAAGCGGAUUAGAUACCCGCGUAGUCCACGCCGUAAACGUUGCCAACUAGGCAUUGGGAGUAUCGACCCUCUCAGUGUCGUAGCUAACGCGUUAAGUUGGCCGCCUGGGUAGUACGGCCGCAAGGCUAAAACUCAAAGGAAUAGACGGGGGCCCGCACAAGCGGUGGAGCGUGUGGUUUAAUUCGAUGAUAAGCGGGGAACCUUACCAGGUCUUGAAAUCUAGCUGCAUACCAGCAGAAACGUUGGUCGCCUUCGAGGGUGCUAGACAGGUGCUGCACGGUUGUCGUCAGCUCGUGGUGUGAACUGUUUCCUUCAGUGGAGUAACGAGCGCAACUCCUAUUGCGUGUUGAUUUUCACGCGAGACUGCCGUGGUUAACACGGAGGAAGGUGGGAAUGACGUCAAAUCAGCGUGGUCCUCUGACGACCUGGGCUACACACGCGCUACAAUGGCUAGGACAAUAAGCUACUGCAAACUCGCGAGAGUGAGCCAAUCUUUAAACCUAGUCUCAGUUCGGAUUGGAGGCUGCAACUCGCCUCCAUGAAGCUGGAAUCGCUAGUAACCGUGGAUCAGCCACGCCACGGUGAAUACGUUCUCGGGCUUUGUACUCACCGCCCGUCAACUCAGAAGAGCUGAUAAUACCCAAAGACCCCGCAUUUAGUGGGGGCCACGGUAAGAUCAGUAAUUAGGAGUAAGUCGUAACAAGGCAUCGCUAGGGGAACCUGGCGAUG